rnacentral:rRNA from 1 species
AGAGAGAGACAUGCGCGCAUAUCAAUAAGCGGAGGAAAAGAAACUAACUAGGAUUCCCUCAGUAACGGCGAGUGAAGCGGGAAGAGCUCAAAUUUGAAACCUUCAAGAUUCUACCUUGACGAAUUGUAGUUUAAAGAAGUGUUUUCUGUUGGAGUUUUGGUAAAAGUUCUUUGGAAUAGGACAUCAUAGAGGGUGAGAAUCCCGUAUUUGACCAUUAUUUCCAGCUUUGUGAUACACUUUCAAAGAGUCGGAUUGUUUGGGAAUGCAGUCCAAAAUGGGUGGUAAAUUUCAUCUAAAGCUAAAUAUUGGCGAGAGACCGACAGCGAACAAGUACCGUGAGGGAAAGAUGAAAAGAACUUUGAAAAGAGAGUUAAACAGUACGUGAAAUUGUCAAAAGGGAAGCGUUUGACACCAGUGUUGUUUUCUCGAAAAUCAAUUAAAAAUGGCAGGAUUUUGUGUUGUAUUGACUUUAUCAGCUUUCUGCACUUUUUUCUUGUCUUUUUUAAUGCACUUUUCGUUUAACAAGUCAACAUCAAUUUCUUUUGUUGUAAAAGGGUCAUUGGAAGGUGGCUUUCUUUUCGGAGAAAGUGUUUAUAGCCUUUGAUCUCUGCAACCGGAGAGACUGAGGUCUGCAGCGUAGACUCUUCGGGGUUAGAUACAUUUGUGCUAAGCUAUAGCUUUUUAUAGACAACUUGUUGACUAUAUUUAGUCUUGUGGCUUACUCGCUUAUGCUAUUCUACCUACGCUUAGGAUGUUGACAGCAGUAUAGACUGU